GACGAACGCUGGCGGCGUGCCUAAUACAUGCAAGUAGAACGCACAGUUUAUACCGUAGCUUGCUACACCAUAAACUGUGAGUUGCGAACGGGUGAGUAACGCGUAGGUAACCUGCCUGGUAGCGGGGGAUAACUAUUGGACACGAUAGCUAAUACCGCAUAAUAUUGAUUAUUGCAUGAUAAUUGAUUGAAAGAUGCUAUUGCAUCACUACCAGAUGGACCUGCGUUGUAUUAGCUAGUAGGUGAGGUAACGGCUCACCUAGGCGACGAUACAUAGCCGACAUGAGAGGGUGAUCGGCCACACUGGGAAUGAGACACGGCCCAGACUCCUACGGGAGGCAGCAGUAGGGAAUCUUCGGCAAUGGACGAAAGUCUGACCGAGCAACGCCGCGUGAGUGAAGAAGGUUUUCGGAUCGUAAAGCUCUGUUGUAAGAGAAGAACGGGUGUGAGAGUGGAAAGUUCACACUGUGACGGUAUCUUACCAGAAAGGGACGGCUAACUACGUG
rnacentral:rRNA from 1 species